UGUGCAGCCAUUUGGACCUCAGUAUGA
rnacentral:piRNA from 1 species